GACGAACGCUGGCGGCGUGCUUAACACAUGCAAGUCGAGCGGUAAGGCCCUUUCGGGGGUACACGAGCGGCGAACGGGUGAGUAACACGUGGGUGACCUGCCCUCAGCUCUGGGAUAAGCCUGGGAAACCGGGUCUAAUACCGGAUAUGACUCCAUGACGCAUGUUGUGGGGUGGAAAGCCUUGUGCGGCUGAGGAUGGGCCCGCGGCCCAUCAGCUUGUUGGUGGGGUGAUGGCCUACCAAGGCGACGACGGGUAGCCGGCCUGAGAGGGCGACCGGCCACACUGGGACUGAGACACGGCCCAGACUCCUACGGGAGGCAGCAGUGGGGAAUCUUGCGCAAUGGGCGAAAGCCUGACGCAGCGACGCCGCGUGAGGGAUGACGGCCU
rnacentral:rRNA from 1 species